UACAGAGGGUGCGAGCGUUAAUCGGAAUUACUGGGCGUAAAGCGCGCGUAGGCGGCUUUGCAAGUCGGGUGUGAAAUCCCACGGCUCAACCGUGGAACUGCUUGGCAUACUGGCGGUCUUGAGCAACCUAGGGGCGAGCGGAACAAAUGGUGGAGCGGUGAAAUGCGUAGAUAUCAUUUGGAACGCCAAUGGUGAAAACAGCUCGCUGGGGGUUUGCUGACGCUGAGACACGAAAGCCAGGGGAGCAAACGGG
rnacentral:rRNA from 1 species